rnacentral:rRNA from 1 species
UGAACGCUGGGCGGCGUGCCUAACACAUGCAAGUCGAACGGGUUAAGGGAAUUUCGGAUGGAACUUAACGUAGUGGCGACGGGUGAGUAACGCGUGGAUAACCUGCCUCACACUGGGGGAUAGCAGCUGGAAACGGCUGGUAAUACCGCAUAAGACCACAGCACCGCAUGGUGCAGGGGUAAAAGAUUUAUCGGUGUGAGAUGGAUCCGCGUCUGAUUAGCCAGUUGGCGGGGUAACGGCCACCAAAGCGACGAUCAGUAGCCGGCCUGAGAGGGUGAACGGCCACAUUGGGACUGAGACACGGCCCAAACUCCUACGGGAGGCAGCAGUGGGGAAUAUUGCACAAUGGGCGCAAGCCUGAUGCAGCAACGCCCGCGUGAGUGAAGAAGUAUUUCGGUAUGUAAAGCUCUAUCGGCAGGGAAGAAAGGCCCUUAACUAGGGAGAUGACGGUACCUGACUAAGAAGCCCCGGCUAACUACGUGCCAGCCGCCGC